CCUACGGGUGGCAGCAGUGAGGAAUAUUGGUCAAUGGGCGCGAGCCUGAACCAGCCAAGUAGCGUGAAGGAUGACUGCCCUACGGGUUGUAAACUUCUUUUAUAAAGGAAUAAAGUGAGGCACGUGUGCCUUUUUGUAUGUACUUUAUGAAUAAGGAUCGGCUAACUCCGUGCCAGCAGCCGCGGUAAUACGGAUGAUCCGAGCGUUAUCCGGAUUUAUUGGGUUUAAAGGGAGCGUAGGUGGGUUGUUAAGUUAGUUGUGAAAUUUUGCGGCUCAACCGUAGAAUUGCAACUGAUACUGGCAGUCUAGAGAAUAGUUGAGGUAGGCGGAAUGCAUGGUGUAGCGGUGAAAUGCUUAGAGAUCACGAAGAACACCGAUUGCGAAGGCAGCUUACUAAGCUGCUACUGACAUUGAGGCUCGAAAGUGUGGGUAUCAAACAGGAUUAGAUACCCGUGUAGUC
rnacentral:rRNA from 1 species